AAAUAUUUGUAUUGUAUAAUUAUAAGUGUAUAGGACGAAGAUAUAUGUAAUUGCAUGUGUAUAUACAAUUUUCUCUCGCUUUAUACAAACAGAAGCGCAAUUUAUACAUUUCGUUUCUGUUUGUAUAAGCGAGAGAGGCGAGGGUGGCGAGCGAGAUUUGGGAGAGUGGCGAGCGAGAUCUGGGAGAGGGGAACGAAAAUAUAUGUAUAUAUA
rnacentral:lncRNA from 1 species